ensembl:lncRNA
CAGUCCUCACUGAAGAGCUGGCAGUGGAGGCAAGGGGAUCUUGCUGGAGAUCCCUGCUUAACUGAGGCCUUCCAAAGGUUUUCUCCGGUGGGAUUUAUCGACUAUCAAUACAGAUGACGGUAUUGGAAGGCACAGACAGAAACUGCAGGAAUAUGUGUAAGGGAAACUUUAGCAAGGGGAGAAGCUGGGAAGACUUUGCAAGACCACAGAGGAAGGCGUUUACUUGGGAAGAACCGAGGCCUGCCUCGAGGUUCUCCGCGGCGACUGCUAUGAGACAGAGCAACCCGGCAGGGGAGCAACCCGUCCUGCCUGCAGGCGGCGGGAAGCGGAGGACGGAGGGCCCGGUGGCGCUCCUCGCUGAGGGGGAGCGGCCCCACCGUCCCUCAGGGCCAACUCCAGGCGGCGGCCAAUGGCUUUCACUGGGCGCUGCACUGCUCCUUCAGGGGCGGCGCCGCGAGAAAAGGCGGG